rnacentral:tRNA from 1 species
GGGGCCGUAGUCUAGCUUGGACUAGGAUGCCAGCCUGGGGAACGCUGGUGGUCCCGGGUUCAAAUCCCGGCGGCC